rnacentral:rRNA from 1 species
GAUGAACGCUGGCGGCGUGCCUAAUACAUGCAAGUCGAGCGAACAGACGAGGAGCUUGCUCCUCUGACGUUAGCGGCGGACGGGUGAGUAACACGUGGAUAACCUACCUAUAAGACUGGGAUAACUUCGGGAAACCGGAGCUAAUACCGGAUAAUAUAUUGAACCGCAUGGUUCAAUAGUGAAAGACGGUUUUGCUGUCACUUAUAGAUGGAUCCGCGCCGCAUUAGCUAGUUGGUAAGGUAACGGCUUACCAAGGCGACGAUGCGUAGCCGACCUGAGAGGGUGAUCGGCCACACUGGAACUGAGACACGGUCCAGACUCCUACGGGAGGCAGCAGUAGGGAAUCUUCUGCAAUGGGCGAAAGCUUGACGGAGCAACGCCGCGUGAGUGAUGAAGGUCUUCGGAUCGUAAAACUCUGUUAUUAGGGAAGAACAAAUGUGUAAGUAACUAUGCACGUCUUGACGGUACCUAAUCAGAAAGCCACGGCUAACUACGUG